AGUGGAUGGGGAGCAACCUAGUUGUGCGUGUGUAAAGGUAGUGCCAAGAAAAGCGGUGAUCAUGAUGAAAAUCAAUUCCCGGUACCCGAAACCGACGCAGGUGGGCAAGUAGAGAAUACUAAGGGGCGCGAGGUAACUCUCUCCAAGGAACUCGGCAAAAUGACCCCGUAACUUAGGGAGAAGGGGUGCCACCGAGAGGUGGUCGCAGUGAAGAGGCCCAGGCGACUGUUUAGCAAAAACAUAGGUCUCUGCAAACUCGAAAGAGGAGGUAUAGGGGCUGACGCCUGCCCAGUGCCGGAAGGUUAAAGAAGUUGGUCAGUCUUAGGAUGAAGCUAGCGACUGAAGCCCCGGUGAACGGCGGCCGUAACUAUAACGGUCCUAAGGUAGCGAAAUUCCUUGUCGGGUAAGUUCCGACCCGCACGAAAGGCGUAACGAUCUGGGCGCUGUCUCGGAGAGAGGCUCGGCGAAAUAGGAUUGUCUGUGAAGAUACGGACUACCUGCAUUUGGACAGAAAGACCCUAUGAAGCUUUACUAUAGCUUGGAAUUGUGUUCGGGCUUCCUGUGCGCAGGAUAGGUGGGAGGCGAAGAAGGUAUUCUUGUGGGGAUACUGGAGCCAACGGUGAGAUACCACUCUCAGGAGGCUAGAAUUCUAACUUAAUUAAGGACAGUUUCAGGUGGGUAGUUUGACUGGGGCGGUCGCCUCCAAAAAGGUAACGGAGGCGUACAAAGGUUCCCUCAGACUGGUUGGAAAUCAGUCGCAGAGUGCGAAGGCAGAAGGGAGCUUGACUGCGAGAAGUACAGUUCGAGCAGGGUGGAAACACGGUCUUAGUGAUCCGACGGUGCUGUGUGGAAGGGCCGUCGAUCAACGGAUAAAAGUUACUCUAGGAUAACAGGCUGAUCUCCCCCAAGAGUUCACAUCGACGGGGAGGUUUGGCACCUCGAUGUCGGCUCAUCGCAACCUGGGGCGGAAGUACGUCCCAAGGGUUGGGCUGUUCGCCCAUUAAAGCGGUACGUGAGCUGGGUUCGGAACGUCGUGAGACAGUUCGGUCCAUAUCCGAUGUAGGCGUGAGAAUAUUGAGAGGAGCCUUCCUUAGUACGAGAGGACCGGGAAGGACGCACCGCUGGUGUACCUGUUAUGAUGCCAAUUGUAAACGCAGGGUAGCCAAGUGCGGAGAGGAUAACCGCUGAAAGCAUCUAAGUGGGAAGCCCACCUCAAGAUGAGUAUUCUGGUGUAAGGUCACGGGAAGACGACCCGUAAAUAGGCACGAGGUGGAAGUGCAGAGAUGUAUGAAGCCGAAGUGUACUAAUAGACCGUCGGCUUGA
rnacentral:rRNA from 1 species